GAUGAAGAACGUAGCGAAAUGCGAUAAGUAAUGUGAAUUGCAGAAUUCAGUGAAUCAUCGAAUCUUUGAACGCACAUUGCGCCCUCUGGUAUUCCGGGGGGCAUGCCUGUUCGAGCGUCAUUACAACCCUCAAGCUUUGCUUGGUAUUGGACAUUGCCAGUUUCUGGCAGGUCUUAAAAUCAGUGGCGGUGCCAUUUGGCUUCAAGCGUAGUAAUUCUUCUCGCUUUGGAGAUCCAAGUGUUUACUUGCCAAUAACCCCCAAUUUUUUCAGGUUGACCUCGGAUCAGGUAGGGAUACCCGCUGAACUUAAGCAUAUCAAUAAGCGGAGGA
rnacentral:misc_RNA from 1 species